rnacentral:rRNA from 1 species
UACGGAGGGAGCUAGCGUUGUUCGGAAUUACUGGGCGUAAAGCGCACGUAGGCGGCUUUUUAAGUCAGGGGUGAAAUCCCGGGGCUCAACCCCGGAACUGCCCUUGAAACUGGAGAGCUAGAAUCUUGGAGAGGCGAGUGGAAUUCCGAGUGUAGAGGUGAAAUUCGUAGAUAUUCGGAAGAACACCAGUGGCGAAGGCGACUCGCUGGUCCGGUACUGACUGCUGAGGUGCGAAAGCGUGGGGAGCAAACAGG